GGGCUGACUGCCACUGGGGAAGGAUCUCUGGUUGGAGAUCCCUCCUUGGUAAAGCUUUCCCCUGCGAACCUGGAAUCUUCUGUUAUGGAGUUGGUGCCAGUGCUUGAUAUUUGACAGCCAAAGCUCGAGGUGAUGGGAAUGUGGUGGAGAAGGUGAUGACCUACCUAUGGCUGCAUCAGCAGGGAAGAGAAUCAACGCUGAGAGAAUAUAAGAGAAGUGGACCAUUCAUUGACAUCGGAGCCCAGAUAUGAUGGCAGUUAGCUUUCAAGUUUUAGGGAGAGAAACUGCACCUCUGCCUGAUGGGGUGCUUAAAGCCAGACAGAAUUCAGAUGCCAACAGAAAGCUCCAGACUGCUACAGAAGAAGAAAGGAAGACAAGAAGAAAGAAAAUGAGAUGGGAUUUUCCUUAUCUCCUGCUCGCUGUGGGAACUGCUGAGCACAUGCUGUAAACUGGAGCAGCACGACUCGAGUCGGCUGUCAGCAGCAGGUUCAAUUAGGGAUGUUUUACAGCCCGAUGGCAGGAACAGAGAGAACUCGAUGGGAGCCAUUUAUUUUUUGAUGACCUGAUGUCAAUCAAAUGGGAGUCAAAUUUCAUCCCAGCCCACUGUUUAAAAAACCUCAUGGUUAGUCCAAUAACCAAUGACUGGCAAUGGCAGACCCACACCUCUGGCAGUGGUUUGUCCCACCUGUGCUGGCUGCCUCCCAGUGCAAACUUUUUGGCUUAGCCUGCAGAAAGUUAACGCUCCCAGUCUCCUGCAACCACAGCAACAGAUCCACGCUAAUUUCUUUUCCUGAAAGAUAUAUUUUUCAUAAAUUUCAUUUUCAGCGUUUGCAGCGUGGGCUCUUUCCCAAACAAAGCAGCCAGCGACUGAGCCUGGGUUUAUUGCCUCCACAAUCCAAAUUGCAGCUAUUAUCGCUAUCUACAACCUGCAAUUAUCCUCAGCUUGCGUGUUUCAUUUCUUUAUCAAAACAUACUUUGUGCUGAUGAGAGGUGAUAGACUGGCAGCUCGGGAAGCCACGUCUGCUCUCCCAACAGCAGCUGUGAAGGCAGAGAGCAGAGAGCAGCCCCUCACACAUGGCAGCAGCUGUGUGAUUGCUGCAGCAUUCAGGGACACAGAACGUCUCAUCGUGGUGAGGGGAGUUCUGAUGCAUCUCAGUUCAUCCUAAGAUCAGGUCUACCUGCUUUCCUCUGCCUUACGCUGUGCAGAAUGAAGGGAGCCCACCAUUUCAUGCAUUUUUUUUUUUCUUUUUCAUGGCCCUGCCGUGUUAUCCAUUCUUUGUUCUGCCACAGCAGUUUUUGUUUUCUGUGCCAUGAUGGGGAUUGAUUUUCCCCAUCCCUAAAGAUCUGCAGUUUGCCAGGCUGGGGGGUUCUGCCAUGCUGGGGCUGCUGUGCAGCUGCAUUUCCUGGGAGACACCAAUUUCAUCCAGCAAUCCCAUCUGGGUGAAGUAGAAUUAAAACUUAAUAAUAAUGACUUUGGUCACUGGGCAAGUCUGCAAAUUGAAAUGGCAAUGAGAUCUGGUAGGUGCCUUCAGGAGGCUCAGUGACUGCUCACAGGGGAACCAACCUGAAAUGUUUGGCUCUAAUCCGCAUUUCAAAGUAACUGUGUUGAGAAAUGUCCAUUCUGUUGCAAAUUAACAAUGCCAGUCUCAAGAAGGUAAGCUACUUUGUCCCCAUCAACUACCACUUAAUUGGAGGCUGAGGAUGACCCUGUCAUGGCAGUGGAAGGACAGCUGCCUGCCUUCUUCAUUCCAGUGGGUAAAACACAAGAUGGGUAUAGAACCAUAGGUAUAGAAUUGUUUGAGUUGGAAGGAACCCU